GAACUUUCUAGAAGCUGGGAGGCGUAGCCGAGUGACAGACAGGACCCGGAGGGGAGGAACAGGGAACAUUCAAGAGCAAAAGGCAGACACCCAAACACAGAUUGGAUGUUCAGACCUCUGUUCUAGGAUGUGCCUUCUCCUUUUCUCAAUCAUACUGAAUUAAGAAUUAUUAUUCCAGAAAUACAAUACCUAAAUAUUGCCAUCCCACAGAAACCCACCUGAUAACUAUGCUCCACUUAUAUUCAAGGUCAUGCUCUUUCUGCCUGUGGACACAUUGUACUUCACUGGAUGUGUUCAGCUCCAAACUGUCUGGAGUCAGAUUAAUAUAUGAAGAGUUCCACAGCCAUGGAAAUGGACAACAAGCUAUAGUUUCAGUAGAGGAAAAUUCUAUACAAUUCAGACACUGCAGCAAGG
rnacentral:lncRNA from 1 species